CGGAGGGUGCAAGCGUUAUCCGGAUUCACUGGGUUUAAAGGGUGCGUAGGCGGGCAGGUAAGUCCGUGGUGAAAUCUCCGAGCUUAACUCGGAAACUGCCAUGGAUACUAUUUGUCUUGAAUACUGUGGAGGUGAGCGGAAUAUGUCAUGUAGCGGUGAAAUGCUUAGAGAUGACAUAGAACACCAAUUGCGAAGGCAGCUCACUGCGCAGUUAUUGACGCUGAGGCACGAAAGCGUGGGGAUCAAACAGGAUUAGAUACCCUGGUAGUCCACGCCCUAAACGAUGGAUACUCGACAUACGUGAUAUGACAAUGUGUGUCUGAGCGAAAGCAUUAAGUAUCCCACCUGGGAAGUACGACCGCAAGGUUG
rnacentral:rRNA from 1 species